rnacentral:antisense_RNA from 1 species
UUCAAUGGGCGGGUCGUAGUGAGGGGGGCCGCAAGGCCCGCCGGUUUGAACUACCGCCGGUCUCUCACACUUGCUACGCGCCCGCUCACCCCU